rnacentral:rRNA from 1 species
CGCUUCCUACGGGACGCAGCAGUGGGGGAUAUUGCACAAUGGGGGAACCCUGAUGCAGCGACGCCGCAUGGGUGAAGAAGCGCCUCGGCGCGUAAAGCCCUGUCAGCAGGGAAGAAAAUGACGGUACCUGAAGAAGAAGCCCCGGCUAACUACGUGCCAGCAGCCGCGGUAAUACGUAGGGGGCAAGCGUUAUCCGGAUUUACUGGGUGUAAAGGAGGCGCAGACGGCGAUGCAAGCCAGGAGUGAAAGCCCGGGGCCCAACCCCGGGACUGCUCUUGGAACUGCGUGGCUGGAGGGCAGGAGGG